GUUGACCUCGGAUCAGGUAGGGAUACCCGCUGAACUUAAGCAUAUCAAUAAGCGGAGGAAAAGAAACCAACAGGGAUUGCCCUAGUAACGGCGAGUGAAGCGGCAACAGCUCAAAUUUGAAAGCUGGCCUUCGGGUCCGCAUUGUAAUUUGUAGAGGAUGCUUUGGGUGAAACGCCAGUCUAAGUUCCUUGGAACAGGACGUCAUAGAGGGUGAGAAUCCCGUAUGUGACUGGAAAUGUUAACCUAUGUAAAGCUCCUUCGACGAGUCGAGUUGUUUGGGAAUGCAGCUCUAAAUGGGAGGUAAAUUUCUUCUAAAGCUAAAUAUUGGCGAGAGACCGAUAGCGCACAAGUAGAGUGAUCGAAAGAUGAAAAGCACUUUGGAAAGAGAGUUAAAAAGCACGUGAAAUUGUUGAAAGGGAAGCGCUUGCAAUCAGACUUGUUUAAACUGUUCGGCCGGUCUUCUGACCGGUUUACUCAGUUUGGACAGGCCAGCAUCAGUUUCGGCGGCCGGAUAAAGGCUCUGGGAAUGUGGCCUUCACUUCGGUGAAGGUGUUAUAGCCCAGGGUGUAAUACGGCCAGCCGGGACUGA
rnacentral:rRNA from 1 species